UACGUAGGGAGCAAGCGUUGUCCGGAAUCAUUGGGCGUAAAGCGCGCGUAGGCGGCCUCGUAAGUCCGUUGUGAAAGUCAAAGGCUCAACCUUUGAAAGCCGAUGGAUACUGUGAGGCUAGAGUCCGGAAGAGGCGAAGUGGAAUUCCUGGUGUAGCGGUGGAAUGCGCAGAUAUCAGGAGGAACACCAAUAGCGAAGGCAGCUCGCUGGGACGGUACUGACGCUAAGGCGCGAAAGCGUGGGGAGCGAACAGG
rnacentral:rRNA from 1 species